rnacentral:rRNA from 1 species
GCUGGCGGCAGGCCUAACACAUGCAAGUCGAACGGUAACAGGAAGCAGCUUGCUGCUUCGCUGACGAGUGGCGGACGGGUGAGUAAUGUCUGGGAAACUGCCUGAUGGAGGGGGAUAACUACUGGAAACGGUGGCUAAUACCGCAUAACGUCGCAAGACCAAAGAGGGGGACCUUCGGGCCUCUUGCCAUCAGAUGUGCCCAGAUGGGAUUAGCUAGUUGGUGAGGUAACGGCUCACCAAGGCGACGAUCCCUAGCUGGUCUGAGAGGAUGACCAGCCACACUGGAACUGAGACACGGUCCAGACUCCUACGGGAGGCAGCAGUGGGGAAUAUUGCACAAUGGGCGCAAGCCUGAUGCAGCCAUGCCGCGUGUAUGAAGAAGGCCUUCGGGUUGUAAAGUACUUUCAGCGGGGAGGAAGGUGUUGUGGUUAAUAACCGCAGCAAUUGACGUUACCCGCAGAAGAAGCACCGGCUAACUCCGUGCCAGCAGCCGCGGUAAUACGGAGGGUGCAAGCGUUAAUCGGAAUUACUGGGCGUAAAGCGCACGCAGGCGGUCUGUCAAGUCGGAUGUGAAAUCCCCGGGCUCAACCUGGGAACUGCAUUCGAAACUGGCAGGCUUGAGUCUUGUAGAGGGGGGUAGAAUUCCAGGUGUAGCGGUGAAAUGCGUAGAGAUCUGGAGGAAUACCGGUGGCGAAGGCGGCCCCCUGGACAAAGACUGACGCUCAGGUGCGAAAGCGUGGGAGCAAACAG